CCAUCAACUGGAAGUGAAGAUGAAUCCCCUGGGGCUGGAGUUACAGUAAGUCAUGAGUUGCUACAACUUGUGCUGGGAACCAAAUUCAGGUCCUCUGGCAGAACAGACAACAAAACCACUGAGCCAUCUCUCCAGCCUUGCUCAUGACAAUUUACAACAGCUUCGUAUGCUUGUCUGCAGGGUUUAUCAAAGAUGGGGAAGGUCACAUGAGGGGUCUUAUGACGCCUGAAAAAAGGUCAUUUGACCCCACCCCCCCAGGAGUGUUGCGACCCACAGGUUGAGAACUGCUGGAGUAGAUACUAUACCAGUGUGCAUCAGGGAUACGCACACACAGAAGAAAGGCAAAAGGAGAAUACAGCAGGAAGGUCCUGUGACGUGAACAGAUUUCUUCCAGCAUGUGAUUCCGCAAUGAUGAAGACAUGAAAGAAUUCUAUAAAGCCAAGGCGUAAACGCUACUUUCUACAUACACCAACCAGUUCAUAGACCAACACUAAGGACCAUGCAGGAAGCAAGCUGGGCAAGCCUCAAAUUCACAUCAGGCUCCAGUGAGAACUGAGUCCAAGUCUGGCUUCCUUGUUUAACGGCCAUGUGACCCUAGGUGAAUGGUUUCACUUCUCUGUGCCUCUGAUCUCCGCAUCUAUUAAAUUGGGGGUAAAUAAAGUAUACCCUUGACUAGGUUAUCAUCUAGAGGGAUGAGGUAUCCUGUCCUUCCAGUCUCCCGAGGUGAUGCCAUGUUGACAGCCCCGAGGACUCUAGGCCCCACUCACCACUCACUGACCCUGAAGAUGGAUGGAAAAGAAAACAGCAUCUGAAAGGCCGCCCCCAUCAGCAGGAAAUCAUUGUUUUGCCAAUCCCAGAGCUGAGAAACAAGUGUAACACUGGAGACAGGAGGAUACAGUGCCAUUCAAGGCUAUUGUCACAGCCUCUGCUCUGUGUGCAUGAAAGAAACAAAGGGGGGCCUGUGUACAAAUACAGGGACAAUGCUGUUGUGUUAC
rnacentral:lncRNA from 1 species